AGUAACUGCGAGUGAAGCGGGAAAAGCUCAAAUUUAAAAUCUGGCAGCCUUCGGUUGUCCGAGUUGUAGUCUGGAGAAGUGCUUUCCGCGCUGGACCGUGUACAAGUCUCUUGGAACAGAGCGUCAUAGAGGGUGAGAAUCCCGUCUUUGACACGGACUACCAGUGCUUUGUGAUGCGCUCUCAAAGAGUCGAGUUGUUUGGGAAUGCAGCUCAAAAUGGGUGGUAAAUUCCAUCUAAAGCUAAAUAUUGGCGAGAGACCGAUAGCGAACAAGUACCGUGAGGGAAAGAUGAAAAGCACUUUGGAAAGAGAGUUAAACAGUACGUGAAAUUGCUGAAAGGGAAACACUUGAAGUCAGUCGCGUCUUCUAGAACUCAGCCUUGCUUUUUGCUCGGUGCACUUUCUAGUUUGACGGGCCAGCAUCGAUUUUGACUGUUGGAUAAAGGGUAGAGGAAUGUGGCAUCUUCGGAUGUGUUAUAGCCUCUGCUCACAUACAAUGGUUGGGAUCGAGGAACUCAGCACGCCUUUAUGGUCGGGGUUCGCCCACGUUCGUGCUUAGGAUGCUGGCGUAAUGGCUUUAAAUGACCCGUCUUGAAACACGGACCAAGGAGUCUAACAUGCCUGCGAGUAUUUGGGUGGUAAACCCGAGUGCGCAAUGAAAGUGAAAGUUGAGACCUCUGUCGUGGAGGGCAUCGACGCCCGGAUCAGACCUUCUGUGACGAUUCCGCGGUAGAGCAUGUAUGUUGGGACCCGAAAGAUGGUGAACUAUGCCUGAAUAGGGUGAAGCCAGAGGAAACUCUGGUGGAGGCUCGUAGCGAUUCUGACGUGCAAAUCGAUCGUCAAAUUUGGG
rnacentral:rRNA from 1 species